UACGAAGGGGGCUAGCGUUGUUCGGAAUUACUGGGCGUAAAGCGCGCGUAGGCGGUGAUCUUUGUCAGAGGUGAAAACCCGGGGCUCAACUCCGGGCCUGCAGUCGAUACGGGCUGGCUUGAGUGCGGUAGGGGAGACUGGAAUUCCUGGUGUAGCGGUGAAAUGCGCAGAUAUCAGGAGGAACACCGGUGGCGAAGGCGGCUUCCUGGACCGACACUGACGCUGAGGCGCGAAAGCUAGGGGAGCAAACGGG
rnacentral:rRNA from 1 species